AAUUGAUUGGGGAUUGCAUAGACUUACUUCUCUUAAAUUUCUCUGGAUAGAAAAUGGGUGUCCCGAUGCAGUGUUGUUUCCACAAGAAGAGAUAGGAAUGACGCUACCCUGCUCUCUCACCUCUCUCGGCAUCAUCAAUUUCCCAAAACUAGAAACCCUAUCCUCCAAGGGCUUUCAGGACCUCACCUCUCUGGAGUUCUUGUCUAUCGAUUCUUGCCCAAACCUCAAGUCUCUUCCGGAAAAGAAGAUGCUUUCUUCGCUUUUGCGGCUACUUAUUUUGAGAUGUCCAGUGCUAAAAGAACGGUGUGGAAAGGAUAAAGGACCAGAGUGGUCCAAGAUAGACCAUAUACCUUAUGUGGAAAUUGAUGACAGAUGCAUCUAUCAUUCCAGCUAAUUCUGUUUCAGAGGAUAAUGGUUCAGACAAUAAUUCUUCAGGGCAGCAAAGUUGACAAGAAAGUUAACGACUCAAAGUCGCAAGAUAUGAUAUUAACUACGACCUUAUCUACAAAAUGCUUGUUAUCUGCUGAGGGUAAAGAUUGAAGUUUCAGAAAAGGAUUUUCUUUGGUUUUUUGGGACCUACCAACUAUGGAUGUCUGGAAGGUUGAAUGAUCCGUGAGACCAUAGCUGCAGUUGUGAAAAUAACAUUGGUUGCAUCUGGAAACUCAUCUUCUUUAAUCAAUAGUUCCGAACUAGUAUAACUAAAGGUUCUUUCAUUUUAUUGAAAAGAAUCAGAAAAUCCAGAGUUCCUGAGCUCAACUGUGAAAUAACGGCCUAUCAUCUAUGAAUACAUGGAUAAAGGAUUCAUCUAUUACUUGAAGGUGGAAAAAAAACAACCAUUUCAUCUCGCCGAGAAGAAAAUGGCACAAGUAAAGAGUAUACCUUCUUCCAUAUUUGUAAUGAAACCUAAAGACGACAAAUGGAAAGCUGUUUAAUCUCUGAAAAGUAAAGGGAAGAAUGAAUGACUACAAUUUUACAUUAUCCUUUGCUUAUACUCAAGGGUAUGCGGGGAGUCUGUACCACCUGUCACAUGGAUCUUUAUCUGGUGUCUGUCUUUCCUGUCAAUUUGAUUUUCAUCCUUUUUGUAGUAUGAAAUGACAUUAAUUAGAACCUGCAUCCCAACUUUGAGUUAGGAAAAAGGAAACUGAUAAUUUUCUGUUUACAGGCAUUCAUUGAAGUUGCAGAAUGUGCGAGACAGUGUAGAUGGUAAGAAGCUAGUUUUAUUUAAUGUUCAGCUGUUUACAUGUUUAUAGCUUCUUUUUGUACUUCAAUUUCAGUAAUUUCAAACCAAUUGGAGCUCAAUGAAGGUCUGCAAGCUAGUUCCAUACUGAAACAUGGUGUGAAAAUGGAUAAUAGGAGGAAGAGAUAUUAAUUACCAACAGAAAUAAUACUUUUUCUGAUAUAAAAUCAAAAAUUUUGCUAAUUCUGAAACCUUUGAUAAAGUCUUUUAUUCCUAAAUUACUUCUUAUUUGCAUGUUAAAUUACAAAACUUUAUUAUUAAUUGCUUUAAUUGAUAGAUAUUUUAAAAACUGUUUUAUGUUUUGAUAUCAUUUGAUUAUUUCUCAAAGAAAGAGUAUUUGUUCUUGUUGCAUGUUGUUUAACCUAUAGAUUACAAUUUCUAAGAAAUUGAUGUGAAACCUUUAAUUUUUUUUCUAUUUUUUUUUUAUAAGAUUUUAAUAAAACUUGAACCAGGGAACUUAAAGAAGAUAAAAAAUGGUAAGUGGCAGUGCGGCACAGAUACUGUUUCUUACCAGAACAGGCAAUGCAGGACAUAUGUUGUUUCUUUCCAGACCAACUGUACAGAUGCAUUGAGCUUAUGCUUUAUGGAGAAGCUUCCCUGCCUGUGCCUCAAUGUCUGAGAAAUGUAGAUACUAUACCAGCAGUGACGUUGAACCUAGGCAUCAGUAUGUGACACCAUUGAUGCAAUGACUAAAAGAAACUCCUAAGCUUGUUCUCUUCUUUUCCACUAAACCAUCUUAACUGGUUGAGUUUUUCUUUGUAGUCAAUCCAUGCCAUUGUUUUAAGCCGUCGGUAAAAGUGGGUACUAUUUUGUUUGGAGACAUGAUGUAUCCUGGUUACAAGCAUGUUAAACCACUUAAAAGUGUGCAAGGUUUACAAAUUACAAUCUGUGUACAUUGUGAUUACUGUAGCAGGCUAACGCAAGUCGGAGAUCAGAACUCUUGGAUCUCCAUGUGGAUUUGGCUUUCUGGCCUAUAAAAGGACUAAAAGGGUUUACGAAGAGUUCAAAUUACAGAAGCUGUUGUUCUACUAAAGCAAAUGAAGUUUAGAAAUGCAAAUAGAAACAAUUUGCAACAAUCACCAAAUCUAGGUAGGUAGAAGGACAAUGCUACUCUGAUUCCUCUGCCGCCACUACCAUUCACCAAGCCUUGUGCAGCUUGAUCGGCUAAUAUCAACUUCUUUGCCUUGAUCAGAACUGAACUGAUAAAUGAUGAGAGCUAACAAUGAUACUAAUAUCAGUGGCAAUGUCAUAUUGAAUUUUCAAUUUCCUUUUUACUGUUUCAUGUGCUUGGAAAAUAUUUUUAUUUGCUUCGACUUGAUAUUUUAUGAGAUUAUUUUUUAACUUUUCAUGAGAUUGUGUCUGUGUGCUAGGUGAUGAUUAUGAUUCAACUUAAAACAGAUCUACAUAUAUAGAUAAUGUUCAUAGAUACUCAAAAUUCUUUAAAACACUC